UUGAAGAGAAAGGGAGAGGGCCGUGGAUAAGGAGAGAAAAAAAAAGAGGGAAAGCUUCAUUGUUUUCAUCUUGAGUUGUAGCAAAAAACUUGGAGGAAUCAAGAGGGGAAAGCCAUAGCACUUCAAUCUUUCACUAAAACUUGAACAAGGAGGUGGUUUGCUCCAAGAAGAACCAAGUUUUUCUUGCUUCUAAGUUCCACCUUUGGUCAAGAGAGUUCACGGGCGAGCCGAGCGACGAUUCGGUGAUUAGCUCCGAUUACCUUCGCUAGUGGGGGCGGAGGACCCUGAGGAGCAAGUUGCAGGUCCUGAACUUUCGAUACUUUUGUGUAAAUGGCUUUAGAGAGCAUUUUGUAGCUUUAGUUUUUGUUACACUCAAGGUCGGGUAGUUAACAUGAACGUAAAUUUUGACGGUAUAUACUAAGGUGAUUGUAAAUUAGAAUUUUGUCCUUUGGAAUUGUAAGUGGGGAGUUUGGUUGUAAUGCAAGUACUUUGUUUAUGUAAGUUUAUCUUUUGACUUAACCUUUAAGUUUGGAAUGUUAUUUGGUUUAUUAAUA